rnacentral:lncRNA from 14 species
UCCCCUUGUUUGUGUUUAGCGCUAGUGUGGGUGGUGACUAUAGUGACGGUAUCUCGGAAGGCCUAGCUGGUCUAGCCAAGACUAGGGAUACCCUUGUCCUUACAGGUCAGGCAUGUAGACUAUCACUGGAAACAUGAGCUGCAAUAAGGAGGGGGCAGUUGAAGAAGUAAGUUUAGACCCCGAGGAUGGAGAAUCCCCUAAUGUCUGUUUGGAUGUCCCCUGCUCACCACAGGAUCUCAGCCUGGACCCUGACAUGGGAUCUACACAGAGAAGCCUAAGUAAGAAUGAGGUCGAGACUGAGGACAACUCUGAGUUGGACUCAGGGUCUAAACUACAAGCACUAGAAUCGGAGAUGGUGGUCUUUGAGGAACACGGAGAGUGGUCUGUCUCUUCAGCCAGAGACAAAGGGGAUCUUAUGGACUGCUUGCCUCUUGUCAGUGACAAUGUUGAGGAUAAAGUACAACAGCCAACUGACCAGAUGAACCAGGAUGCUAGAAGCCGCUCGUCCUCAAAAAGCUGUGCCACCCAACAUUCUACCACUUGGGCAGAUACAGAGGCAGACUGCAGCAGAAGAAGCAUGCUGGGCAAGAGAUUGGGAGAUGUAAAGCGAGCCUCUGUGGCCCCAGCCCACCACUGGGGGCCCAAAGGAGGUAGGGCCUGCAGGACAAAAAAGAAAAAGAAGGUCACCAAGAGUAAGAAGGCAAUCCCUGAGGAUAUCCAAGACCCACCAUCUGACCAUGACUCAUCAUCAGAUGAGUAUAAUGAAAUGCAAGUGAUGAGGGUGACCAUUUGCUUCAAGAAUGGAGAACAGAUCAUAUCUGGCAAUUCUAUGGCUCCUGAAGACAAAAUCAGAAAAAGAAAUGUCCAACUCAGGGGCAAUUUUCAUCAUAUGACUGGCUCUCUGCAGAUGUCUGCUCCCAGGGGCCAUAUUUUGGGCAUGGGAAAACUAGGGGCCUCUUGUUCUAACAGAAAAGCAUCUGUGUUCAGAGGCAAGGAACAGAGUAGGCCUCGUUACCCAGGAGCUGCUGCGGGUGUGCUGAGGAAGGCCAGUCCUAAAAAGAAAUCAGCCCAGGAGAAGAAACCCCUACAGGAUACUCCAAGAGUCACCGGGAGAAAACCUGUCCCACUGUCAGGGCAGAGACCCAAGGCAGCUCCCGUGGAAAUAGCCACAUUUCCUCCAAUAACCUGUGUCCCUACACUUGAGAGUUCUAAGAAGCACCCCACCACAACACCUCUUGAGGCCACUGAACCCACACAUGGAAAUACAUCCAGAAAGAAAGCAGUAGCAAAGAAUACAAGGGAGACCCUGCCAGUGGCCAGAGGAGACAGGGGCCUUAUGUGUAAAGACAGCAUGAAAAAGUCGACAGUGCUGACCCCAACGUCAGAGUCCUACAAGGUUAAGGAAAUUGCCCAUGCCCAAGUUCCACCACACAGGGCAGAGCAGCCUUCCGUGUGCAUGUAUCGUGGAGAAAUGAGCAGUGGAGACUGCAACACCAGAG